GACGAACGCUGGCGGCGUGCUUAACACAUGCAAGUCGAACGGAAAGGCCCUGCUUUUGUGGGGUGCUCGAGUGGCGAACGGGUGAGUAACACGUGAGCAACCUGCCCUUGACUUUGGGAUAACUUCAGGAAACUGGGGCUAAUACCGGAUAGGAGCUCCUGCUGCAUGGUGGGGGUUGGAAAGUUUCGGCGGUUGGGGAUGGACUCGCGGCUUAUCAGCUUGUUGGUGGGGUAGUGGCUUACCAAGGCUUUGACGGGUAGCCGGCCUGAGAGGGUGACCGGCCACAUUGGGACUGAGGUACGGCCCAGACUCCUACGGGAGGCAGCAGUGGGGAAUAUUGCACAAUGGGCGGAAGCCGGAUGCAGCAACGCCGCGUGCGGGAUGACGGCCUUCGGGUUGUAAACCGCUUUCGCCUGUGACGAAGCGUGAGGGACGGUAAUGGGUAAAGAAGCACCGGCUAACUACGU
rnacentral:rRNA from 1 species